CUGGAAUCGAGGCUCAGAUUCCCUCACAAUUUCAUCAGCUGUACCCUGGGACUCUUGGUCUUGAAUCUCGGGUGGGAUCCUGCAGGAAAGAAAUGUAGUCAGACAGCUCAGAACCUGCACGUGACUGAAAGGACAGAAUGAUCCCAGCAAGAAAAGUCUCUCUGGAGGAAGAGGCUGCAAUGGAUGCAUUCCAGGCUUCUAUGGAAAGACCAGAGGCGUGGAGUGAUGUUAUCAUCCCUAAAGAACCACAAAAGUGCCGCCCGAGAGCAGACCCCAGCUCCAGACACCUGCCCAGCCCAGGAACAGCUGAUGUGAGGGCAUCUCAUAGACAAACCCUGUUGGAAAGUUCCUGCUCUGUUGGCUUUUUCCUCCCCUCCCUUCCAGCCAGAGGGAUCAGAGUUCAAAAUUGGCAAAAAAAAAAAAAAAAAAAAAAAAAAA